CACUCGCAUCGAUUAAUAAUCCGCAUUUGUGAUCUUCCUUCGCGCCAAAGGUCGUUGUCCUGACAACGAGUCUCGCGAGCAGCGGAUUACUUGUAACAGACAGUAAAUCAGCGUUUUUUCCGUAGUGUCUACUGCAGGAUGGAUAUAAAAGUAUAAAACACGUUUUGGUUUGACAACAUCGUUCAUAUGUGAACUAUCACAAUUAAAGCACAAAGACAUAACAACAUUACACUCCGAGACCUUUCACAAGUGCGACAAAAGAGAAGAAACGCUUUCCGGAAGAAGUUCAUCAGGCGAGGUGGAGACUAGUCGACUCAUCCAGUUUAGCGGAGAGCAUCAACCCCUAAUUGACAUGAGGAACAAAUCAUUGAAAAGUGUUCAGUGUACAGUGUACCCCUCUUUGCAACAGAGGAAGCAUUAGGAAAGAGAAGAAGAGAGAAAGUGAAAAGGCACUCAACAGAUGUUGGUGAGACUUUAUUUCUGGAAAUGCUUCAAAUGUCACUCACAUUCUAGUUAGCCACAAAUGUAAACCUGAUUUUAGAUUUUAGUCUUUAAAUGAGAUCCAUAACUCCAGCUACUUGUAGACCUACAGUCCUGUAUAUUUCACACUAAAUUGUGAUGCAGCCUGAAUCAUAAUCACAUCAUUUUCAUUUGUUGGCCAGAGGAGAACUGAUCCCUAAACUAAACAUACUUUCUCCCAAGGGUUUUUUUCUCCAUUCUGUCACCUGACAGAGUUUGAGUUCCUUGCCGCUGUCGAAUUUUGGCAUUAUUUGAGGACUAAUAAUAUUCAGCAAUAUUAUUGAUCUGACUCCACCGGCACUAUUGGAUGAGGACUGAACUGAGCUAGAUGAUGACACCACUGCUAUCUAGAUGCACUGAAAUUAUUUUAUAUUUGAUGAUUUUUAUACAGUUAUUCGAAAUUAACUGAGUCAACACUGAUUUCAACUGAACAAUGACAUGUUUUACUGUUUAGAGCUGCUUCACAGCAGAUGUGAAUUCUGUUUGCAUCAUUAUUUGUCUUUUUAUCACUGUAAAGCAGCUUUGAAACAAUCUGUAUUGUAUAAAGCGCUAUAUAAAUAAUGGUGACUUGACUUAAAUUGGUUCAAAUCUUCAAAAAAAAGUGCAUGAAACAAGCAACCUGAAUAAACACAAAAUACAGUUUAUUAAUGAAACUUGCCUUUGUUUUGUGUUAAUUUUCUUAGGAAUAUCUGACAAUAUUUAGUGCUGGAUAUACUCAAAAAUAAAUCAGGAUUUUUUUUUCACAGCACUGUACACCAGCAUUUAUGUUUAGUGUGACAUUAAUGUGUGGAAAUGGACAUUUUAUCAGUGUGUGAUUGCUAUUUUCAGGAAAUGCACUGGUAACAACUAAAAAAAGAUGACCAAACAUAUAAUUCAACAGAAGAUGAUGGCUGUGGUGAAACAAGCACUCAAAUAAUGAAAUGCAUGUUAUUGUGGGUAGUUGCAUGGACUAUCAGUGGAGGAACAGAAAGCUCUGAGAUUUCAUUAUAAAGAUCUUCAAUUGUGUUCUGAAGAUGAAUGAAGGACUUGCGGGUUUGGAACGAUAUGAGGACUACAUCCAAAAUAGUGUUUCCACAUCUGAGAUGAAGGCAGUCAUAAGAACCAAGCAAAACGAUGAGGAUAAGCUCUUCAAAAAAUGAAACCUGUCUGAAUAAUGCAGGAAGAAAUGUGCAUGAUUGUGUGAUUUGUAAAUAAACACUAAAUACAUUUAGUGUAACUCUCAGCCUGUUAUUUUAAGUUUAAAGAAAAGUAAAAUAAUUUAUUGUUGCAUUGCUGUUUGAGACAUUCACUGUUGUUUUGUACCUUAAUUUAUUAUAUUGCAGUUGUGUAAAAUAAAACUUGUUAUUCUGAAUAUUCUGGUUGCAUUUCAGUGUUA